GCCUGGGCGACAGAGUGACACUCUGUCUCAAAAAAAAAGGUUUUGGGCACAUAGCCAAGAUCACUAAAUAGAAGGGAUGAUGAUUGUGGUGUUGCUGCCCUGGAAGUUGUCUCUGGGCCCAUUUCUCCUCUUCUGAGCCUGUGCUGGAACGGGUCUGAAGGUCUGGGAUGAGGCUUUCUUUUUAUGGCAGAGCUGGAGGUUUCCCCACCAAGAACCCAGUCCUGUAGACCUCAGAUCUCAGGAUCAGGACAAGGGACUGGGGCACCUUGGGGUGUGCUUGUGCUUGGAGAGACAUGGUCAGCCUUCAGCCUGGAUUUGGGCAUUUCUAGUGACCACAGACCUAGGGGAGUGACAGAGGUGUCCUAACCCUUAGCAGUGUCCCGUCUGACAGGAGAGGCACAGCCCCUCACCCCCAGGAGCAUCCAGUCAGAGGAGGGAGACAGCACAAGGAGUCACCCUCUCAAUAAGCUAAGACUUCAGAAUGGCAGAGCUGGAAGACCCCUUAGAGAUGUCUCUUGAGUCACUAGGAGCUUGGUCUGGAGAGAUUCACUUAGGGUCCCAAGGGUGGGGAUGCACUGGGGGACAGAGUGGGGGUGUGACGCAGCCGGGCUGAGGUGAACUAGAGCAUGCAUACCCUGACUACAGGCCUUCAGAGUCAGAAUGCCACACUCAGCCCCUGCUCAGACAAACCUGCGGUCUCAUUCCCACCCUUGCGUGGUCACUCGGCAAGCGCCUGGUGCGAGCUUCCCUUUUUACAAAUGAGAACACUGAGACUAGAAUGAGGAGGGAAUUUUCCAGGUGUGAGACCUUGAGCAGACCCCCUACCAGCUUUAGUUUUCUCAUUUGUAAAUAUCGACAAAAGUGGCCUCUCCAUACAGGGUUGGUAUGAGGACAGAAGAAGAUGGGGGUGAAGGAAGCACAGAGACAAAGCUCAGCCAAGCCUAGCCACGAUCACAGUGAUGAUGAAUUAUUAUUGUUAUGAAGUGUCAGUGGUGCCACCGGGCGUGGUGGUGGUGGCUGAAAGCUUCCUGGAGGAGGUGACUUUUAAAGGCAGGGGUGGCCGAGUGCAGUGGCUCAUGCCUGUAAUCCUAACACUUUGGGAGGCGGAGGUGGGCAGGUUGUUUGAGUCCAGGAGUUUAACACCAGCCUGGGCAACAUGGCAAGACCCUGUCUCUAUAAUACAAAAAUUGCCGGGCAUUGCCAGGCACGGUGGCUGCUAUUUUAAAUACGGUGGUUAGGACAUGUGGCAGACAUGAGCUGAACUUCAAACAGAGAUCUGAAGGAGGCGAGGGAGCCAGCCCUGAAAAUUUGGGGGCAGGGGCACAAACUGAUCCAGGCAGAGGGGACAGUACGUGUAAGAGCACUGAGGCAGGCCUGGCCUAUUUUUCAAAAAAAAUUUUUUUUUUGAGAUGGAGUUUCGCUCUUGUUGCCCAGGCUGGAGUGCAAUGGUGCGAUCUCGGCUCACUGGAGUGCAAUGGCGCGAUCUCAGCUCACUGCAAACUCUGCCUCCCGGGUUCAAGCUAUUCUCCUGCCUCAGCCUCCUUGAGUAGCUGGGAUUACAGGUGCACGCCACCUCGCCUGGCUAAUUAUUUUUAGUAGAGACGGGGUUUCACCAUGUUGGCCAGACUGGUCUCGAGCUCCUAACUUCAGGUGAUCUGCCCCCCUCAGCCUCCCAAAGUGCUGGGAUUACAGGCAUGAGCCACCGCGCCCAGCUGGCUAUUUCUAUUACUUCAAAUUUACUUAUCCCAAAGGUCGUGAGGAAGCACCUUCCAUUCAGCUGACAGCCUUUGGGUCUGCAAUGGAGGAGCGAUGGGCUAUCUUUUUCUUUUUUUCUUUCUUCUUUUUUUUUUUUUGGAGAUGGAGCUUCGCUCUUGUUAUUGCCCAGGCAAGAGUGCAAUGACGCUAUCUCGGCUCACUGCAACCUCCACCUCCCAGGUUCAAGAGAUUCCCCUGCCUCAGCCUCCAGAGUAGCUAGGAUUACAGACAUGCGCCACCAUGCGCGGCUAAUUUCGUAUUUUCAGUAGAGACGGAGUUUCUCUAGUUUGGUCAAGCUGGUCUCGAACUCCUGACUGCAGGUGAUCCGCCCGCCUAGGCCUCCCAAAGUGCUGGGAUUACAGGCGUGAGCUCCCGCGCCCGGCCCCCUUUUUCUUUAUUUUAUUUUUAUUUUUUCACACACAUCCCGUAGGAUGAGAUGCUUUUUGAUUUUUUAAAAGACACCUAGUUGAAGACUGGCACUCAGAGGCCGGAGAAAAGCCUGUGGUUCCGAUGGUUAGGGAAAGGCUUUGGGGGUCGAAGCUGAGUUGGGAGAGAGGAGGAUGUGGCCGAAUGGGGAAGGCAAGGCCGAGCAGAAUGAGGGGCGCCCUCAGGGAGUCGGGGAUGUUGGAAGGGGGCUGUAAAUACAGGCGGGAGGUGGGCGGAACCCGCCCAAGCUACCGGGUGGCCGCCUCCCCAGUGCGGACCCAGGCUGAGGCCCCGCCCUGCCCGGAGGCUCCGCCCGCAUCCAGGCCCCGCGGGCAGGAUCUACCAAGAACCCACAUCAAAGGCUCCCAGGAAGCGCGAGCGAGCCCCAAAGGAAGUGGCGCAGCCUCUAAUCCAGCUCUGGGGGUGGGGGAAGCCCCGCAAUUAUUGGGGGGCUUCCUCCCGCGCUACCCCCUUUAAAACCCGGGAGCCCACAUUUAAGUCUCCCCACCCCCACCUCAAAUUGCCUCCUUGUUGGGGGUGAGGCUGUGUUCAGUAAAACUAUUAUUCAGACGAGUUUCACCCCAAAACCUCACCUGAACAGCUGAACAGUCUCUCUUUGCGGCUGCACCUGGGGAGUGUGUUCUUUUGAAAAAGAUGGGGCCCUAGUUACCGCAUGUUUGUGCAACACACACGUUUACUGGGCACCACUGUAUGCCCGGCACCAUGGGGGACGGCAAGAUGGAAUAAAACCGGGUCUCUGUCCUUCAGGGAGCCCCCUGCCUAAAGAGGAGGGAGUGAGAGCUGGGGUUUGUCCCGGGAGGAAUUAUUUAUUUGGCCUGGGGGAGCCCUGUCUAUUCUUCAGAAGUGACUUUUGAUUGAUUGUAAAGGUAGCAAUAGCUAAGAUUCAAUGCGCAUUGACUGUGUGCCCAGCACUGAGCAAAGGGCAUUAGAUACAUGAUGAUCUCACUGAGUCCCAGCAGCAGC
rnacentral:lncRNA from 10 species